CAACUGCAAUAGCCAUUAUUGCCCGAUAUCCUUAAAUGAUGUCUAAUGAUGGACUGCAUUCUUUCUUACUUUAGGGUAGGGGGUACUAAUUGGUUCAGUUUUGGGGUGACUUGGUCAGUAUCAUUAACAACUAGACCUAGGUGCUUAUUAGUUUAUUCUUCGGGUAGUUUCUCUCGGACUAAAUAAAAUGUGACCUAGCAGAACACUGUUACAGUUUACGGAUAUGUGGGGGCAUCCGAGGUUCCACAUAUGGGACAAUUGAUCGAGCAAGAUUGGAGGAUGUGUAUCGUUGUUUCCAGGUAGCUUAAGGUAGCUGUCUUGCUAUAUAUGGGUGAAGCAGCUGAUUUGGAAGGCACAUGGUCUCACAGGGGUGAUUGG